CUUGACGGAGCCCAGCCACACCGGGUCGUCCUCGGUGCGCUCCUGGCCGUAGGUGGCGAGCAGGGCCUGGGCCUC
rfam:Kutzneria sp. 744 genomic scaffold supercont1.1, whole genome shotgun sequence.